UCCAUGUCUUGUCGCCUGGUGAUGACGUCACGGCAGGUCCUGCAGUCUAGUAGUGUGCUGGCCGGAUUAUAGAAUAUUGAAGGUGACAUCGGGGGCAGCUUCCUUCUCUGAGUCAGGUUGGUGGAGCUGGACCCCUCAUUCCAUUACAGAGCCUCCCCAUCGCCCCCUGCCACAUGAGCAGAAGAUCCUAGGAGUCCCCCACAAGAUCACUGAGCUGCUGACUGGAGAGGUUCCUGUAAAGUGUCAGGAUGUCCAUGGAGGACUGGGAGUAUAUAGAUGGACACAAGGAUCUGUACAAGGACUUAUUAAUGGAGGACCACCAGCCCCUCACAUCACAAGAUGGAUCCAGGAGGAGAAAUCCUUCAGAGAGAUGUCCCCGUCCUCUGUAUUCC